GUUUGCUUUUGAUUUCACAAAAACGUCAGAAGUCAUUCUAACUGCGUACUUUUUAUGGAGCAUUUCAACAAUAUGCAGCACACUUCUGAUGCUUCAAACCGAAAUGCUAAAUUCGGGAAAUAUAAAGAAUGUGUUCGCUGUCGUGCGCAUUUUUAUUCUGAUGUUCUGGUCAUUCGCCGCCAAUUUUUUAUUUUGCAAUUCUGGUGAAAGUUUAACAAGAAAAUUCAAUACACUGAACGAUAUUAUUGGUCAAAGCCAAUGGUAUUUAUUGCCUAUGGAUAUUCAACGAUUGCUGCCAAUCAUCGUGAUGACAACUCGAAAAGAAAUCAUUCUUCAAGGAUUUGGCGGCGUUAAAUUGACUAGAGAAACAUUCAAAACGAAUGUCAACCGUGGAUUUUCAUAUUUUACGGUUCUUCGUGAAUAGGAUUACAUAUAUCCCACUUGACCAAAAUAGUGUAUCGAUUUCACUUAAUUCACCGUACGCAAUAAUUUCAUAUUUUGAUGUGUUGAUUAAUGUUGAGUUAAAAUAAAUUAAAAGCGCUUCGCGUAGCAUGCAUUUGAUUUUGGCAUCAUUAAAAUUUCAGUUUUAUAGAUUUCCAUGGAACAACACAUCAAGCAUUGCGUUAGCCGAAC